AUUACAAUGAUGUGGGCAAUGCCUAAGUAAAUCCUUAUAUCUAUCCAAAGCUUCAUAUAAUGUCUCAUUAUCAAACUGUAUGGAUGAAGUGAUUUCGGUUCCUCAUCUU
rnacentral:snoRNA from 1 species